UAAAUAAUACAGAAUAUUGCUGUAAAGUGCAAUGCAUUCUGGGGUCACGUGACGGAUUAACUCAAAUGUACAGAAUAUUGCUGUAAAUUUCAAAUCUACAAUGGCGGGAUGAUCUUCAACGGUCGAGAUUGGUGUAGUGCGCAAAAUGAGUGAUUCACACAUGUGGACACACUUUGCCAUGCAGGCCACUGGAUGCUGACUACUGAAGGUUAGGUUGUGUGUGACGGUGCUCAGCACAGCUUCAUGUCUGGCCUUCCCACUCUGUUCAUAGCAUGUUACAUAUUCAAUCUUGAGUACCAGGAUGGGGCAAGCGUGUAUCUUGGAGUCCAAUGAAAGAUAUUAAUCCAGAGAGUGGAACAAGAAGAAGCAUCAUCUAAAAUGCCAGGAAACAGAAGAAACAGGUUGCAGUGAACCCACAUGUUGCCGCUCUACACAAUGAUGAAUUUUCAUUGUAAUCGAUGAAAAGUAAGAAACACACACAGACACACACACACACGCACACACGCACACGCGCACACACACACGCACACACAGAGCGACUAACAGUGAUUUAAACUCAUAAUUUGUUUAUUCAUGUCACAAACACAUAAAAUAAACACAUAAGUAGGCCGCAGUUACUAUGAUCAUGCACUUUCUGGUGUGAAAUGUUUAUUUAUUCAUGCAGUUAAUGAAUCAAUUGAGUUGACUUUCCAAGUGAUGAUUGAUCAUGAACAGCAGGUGUCAUCACUAAAGAUCAGAGUCAACUGAAGAAAUGAACAAGAACAGGAAAUAAAGACUGUAGACACACAGAUUCAUGUCAUAUAAAUACACAAUCACAUAUGCUAAUAUAAUACAUAUUUACAUGUAACUAAAUGAAACUUUUGACUUCUUUAAAUAUCAUUAGUAGAGCUUUAGUUGUAUUUAGUUUUUUCUGAUGUUGUUUUAUUGAACAAGUCAUUUAAAUUCACCAUUAUGGCGAUCAGUGUUUUAUUUAGUUGGGUACUUGUACUAAAGUCCAACUUAACCGUUUUCCCUACUUGUGAAAAGAACUGUUCUAAACAUACAUCAUGUUAAAGCAAGCAGGUGCACAGUCUUGUCUUUCUAUUGAGUAGAAGCUUAUUUAUAAUUGUUGACAAAGUCAGUAUCUGUUUAUCUUACACACCACUAUUGACAAACAUUGACAUCUCUAGCUUGACUAAAACAUUUCAUUACACUUUUAUCAUUUUCUGAUGACUUCAAGCAACAAACAAUUUAAACCACAGGCAGUAUGUCUGUUUAACUCAUUAUCAACAGCAAAAGAAACAAGUACCUCAAGUACCCCACUAAAGAGAAUCCUCAUCACACUAAUGAUGACGCCACAUCACAUCUAAAACAUUUCAAACUGCAGCUAAACCUCUAACUCUACAUGAACAUCUUUUACACUCAAACUUCUUUUAACAAGUGAUUAUCGAAACACUGUUUAAAGAUGUUUAAAGCAUCUUGAUAUUUUGUGAUAUUAAGAGACCACAUUAGUUCUACACAUAGAUCUGUUGUGUUUGCUUUACAUCAGCUGUGUAUAUAAACACUUCGUGAACAGCAGGUGUGAUCACUAAAGAUCAAUCAUCACUGUAAAGUCAACUCAAUUGAUUUAUUAACCCCAUGAAUAAAUGAACAUUUCACACCAGAAAGACUCUGCUUCAGUGUAAAUUUGUACACCCGUAGGUACAGACUCAAAGAUACACCAGCGGGUGUACAUUUAACACCAGGACUUUCCUUCGUUACUUGUGUUGGUUCGGCUGAAAGUGAUAACGCAUCGUUUCUUUGGUCUGCACCCUAAUGAGUGUUUACUGACAUCAGCUAUAAAGAACACUAUACAAUCUUGUUUCUGUAUGUAAAUGAUAUAUACGGUGUAUUCAGAGCUCCGUUUCAAGCUGCGCGGCUGUCGCUUCUGUCUUGUGGGGACGGUACGAGACACCACAACAGCCCUCAGGACAGCAGGAAAAUAAAGAGUAUUUACACUGUAGACUUUACAGUAAAUACACACACAUUAGUAGACUAUGUUGGAAACACGCUGGUAUUGUGUUGCUAAUCGUGUCUGUGAAAUAAAAAUAAACAAAUGACACGUUUAAAAACAACACUGGCCUGUGCGUGCGAGUAAAACCCAUACAUGGCAGACAAAAAUAGCCUCUGUGAAGUAUAAAGCUGAAGUGGUCAAGUAAAAGAUCUCGUGUGAUUUGACAUCAGACUUUUAAAAGUGAGAAUAACCCUUACGGAAAGAAAAUAUAUUUCCUAAUAUAUGAAUGUAAAAUAUAUAA